rnacentral:rRNA from 1 species
AGAGUUUGAUUCUGGCUCAGGACGAACGCUGGCGGCGUGCUUAACACAUGCAAGUCGAACGAUGAAGCGGUGCUUGCACCGUGGAUUAGUGGCGAACGGGUGAGUAAUACGUGAGUGACCUACCUUUGACUCUGGGAUAAGCCUGGGAAACUGGGUCUAAUACCGGAUACGACCAAUCUCUGCAUGGGGUGUUGGUGGAAAGCGUUAUGGAGUGGUUUUAGAUGGGCUCACGGCCUAUCAGCUUGUUGGUGAGGUAAUGGCUUACCAAGGCGACGACGGGUAGCCGGCCUGAGAGGGUGACCGGCCACACUGGGACUGAGACACGGCCCAGACUCCUACGGGAGGCAGCAGUGGGGAAUAUUGCACAAUGGGCGCAAGCCUGAUGCAGCGACGCCGCGUGAGGGAUGGAGGCCUUCGGGUUGUGAACCUCUUUCGCCAGUGAAGAAGGUCCUGCUCUUUGUGGUGGGGUUGACGGUAGCUGGGUUAAUGAAGCGCCGGCUAACUACGUGCCAGCAGCCGCGGUAAUACGUAGGGCGCGAGCGUUGUCCGGAAUUAUUGGGCGUAAAGAGCUUGUAGGCGGUUGGUCGCGUCUGCUGUGAAAGGCCGGGGCUUAACUCCGGUUUUGCAGUGGGUACGGGCUAACUAGAGUGCAGUAGGGGAGACUGGAAUUCCUGGUGUAGCGGUGGAAUGCGCAGAUAUCAGGAGGAACACCGAUGGCGAAGGCAGGUCUCUGGGCUGUAACUGACGCUGAGAAGCGAAAGCAUGGGGAGCGAACAGGAUUAGAUACCCUGGUAGUCCAUGCCGUAAACGUUGGGCACUAGGUGUGGGGGACAUUCCACGUUUUCCGCGCCGUAGCUAACGCAUUAAGUGCCCCGCCUGGGGAGUACGGCCGCAAGG